GUUGUAUGGUUAAGUGACUAAGCGUACACGGUGGAUGCCUAGGCAGUCAGAGGCGAUGAAGGACGUAUUAACUUGCGAUAAGCGUAGAUGAGGCAGUAAAAGCCACUCGAGUCUACGAUUUCCGAAUGGGGAAACCCAAGUGCAUAAGCACUUAUCGCUGCGUGAAUACAUAGCGCAGCGAGGCAAACCGGGGGAACUGAAACAUCUAAGUACCCCGAGGAGAAGAAAUCAACCG
rnacentral:rRNA from 2 species